ACCCCAAACCUAAGGGUGUGCCCUGACCGGCAAUGGAACGUGCACACGGUGUGCAGUGUAGGGAGGGCGCUCCAGCCAACGCAGCCACCAGGCCAGGGCGAUGGCUGCCUUGUAAGGCCACUGCCAGGAUCACACGAAAUAACACAUAUGAAGGCUCUUAAUGGUGCGUGACUGGCAUCGUGGCCCGUGGAGGCCCCUGAGCAGAUUUCUGUGCCUGCCAGCCCAUUCACCAGUUUCUGCGUCACGUUAUUGGCAGUUGUCAAGUGCUGUCUCCCCUCGAUUGCAAGUUCCUUGACACCCCAGAUGGGUUUGUUGGCCACUGUAGACCCCAGUGCCCAGCCCAGGACUGGCCCACCCUGCCUGGUAACGUUGAAAGGACAGAUAAGUGCUAAUUUCUCAGGCGCACACUUCCAGUGCUUUGGGUCAGAGGUCGUAGGGCCUGGUCUGGAUUCGGUUUAGCUCUGGCGGGAGGCCUCCUGGACGCAUGGGUGUUGCCUCUGUUCAUCAAGAUGUGCAGGGCUGAGGACUUACAGCUUCACCUCGUAAACCUUCUUAGCGUCUCAGCUCUCCCGCAAACCUUGGGUGAUCAUCACCAUGCUGGUCGCCACCGCUGUCUGCUGCUAUCUCUUCUGGCUCAUCGCCAUCCUGGCCCAGCUGAACCCCCUGUUCGGGCCGCAGCUGAAGAACGAGACCAUC